GAUGAACGCUGGCGGCGUGCCUAAUACAUGCAAGUCGAGCGAACAGACGAGGAGCUUGCUCCUCUGACGUUAGCGGCGGACGGGUGAGUAACACGUGGAUAACCUACCUAUAAGACUGGGAUAACUUCGGGAAACCGGAGCUAAUACCGGAUGAUAUAUUGAACCGCAUGGUUCAAUAGUGAAAGACGGUUUUGCUGUCACUUAUAGAUGGAUCCGCGCCGCAUUAGCUAGUUGGUAAGGUAACGGCUUACCAAGGCAACGAUGCGUAGCCGACCUGAGAGGGUGAUCGGCCACACUGGAACUGAGACACGGUCCAGACUCCUACGGGAGGCAGCAGUAGGGAAUCUUCCGCAAUGGGCGAAAGCCUGACGGAGCAACGCCGCGCGAGUGAUGAAGGUCUUCGGAUCGUAAAACUCUGUUAUUAGGGAAGAACAAAUGUGUAAGUAACUAUGCACGUCUUGACGGUACCUAAUCAGAAAGCCACGGCUAACUACGUG
rnacentral:rRNA from 1 species